CUACACUACAGCCUAGUUUAUUCAGAAACUUGUCUGCUAAAGGAAUUAUGUGCCUUCUCCCCUUCUAGCUCCACUCUCUCCAGUUUCUCUUUCCUCAUUAUUGGUUUCUCCUAUUCAUGUUUUCCCUGUGCCCCUUCUUGGGUUUGCAGGGCUUCUGCAUCGUGACCACUUCCAACACCAGCUAUGCUUCCUUUUCAAGCCUCUCCUCUCCUGCACGUGUCUUCCUAAAAUGCACUUGCUCUAUGCUAACCAGGCAUGUUCUCCAGACACAUGAACAAAAGGACUAGGAGUGGAAGAUAUUCUCAGUUUUUCAGGCAGAAUAAAUAAGACAUAAUCAACAAGUGAAAUUCCCAGCUCUGUUUGUGUACAUCUGCACCAUGUGACCUGGGUUUUCUUCUUGCAGCUGACUGGAGAGCUAAGUGCUUGCUGUGCAACACAGAUUGCAUAUUUGGAAAACAAGUCCAUAUCUACAUGACUGUAUGGAUUGAGAACAGAUCUUCUGUGAUCCGAUUUUCUUAAUCUUUAAAGGAAAGAGUUAUCUUUUCCUUCUUGGAUGAGAAUCAGGAUAUGCCUUAAAACCAGCUGAAUGAAGAAAUCUGAACACAUUCCACAGUGCUUUCAAGGAAAGGGACAAAUGUGUCGCUGUUCAACCAUCUUUGCUUCCUUUCAAAAAACAAAGGAUAUCAGAGACUCUGCUUAAAUGUUGGGUACUGCAGGCUUCAGCCAAGAGGUGGCGUUAAGAUGCAAUGCAAUGUUGUCUUAGCAAUAAAAUAUUACCUGUUUUAACAGUAGUAUGCCUGAUGCUUAGAGGUACACAAACCAGUUAAGGAAACAGAAAAUACACUGUAGGUGAGCAAAGGAAUUCGACAGGAAUUCAAUUGGUCUGAGUUGGGACUGAAAAACUAGAGUAACUUAUGCCUUAAGUAACCACUUGUAAUGUAUACCAAAGAUUCUUACACUUUGUAAAUUAGAAUGCGGCUGUGCAAAUGUGAACCAGCAGCUGGAUACAGCUUCUAUUUUAGAUGUUAGGUAAGAUACUUAGACGCUUGAGGGAUUAGGACUAGAUGAUCUUUAAGGUUCCUUCCAACCCAAGCCAUCCUAUGAUUCUUAUAUUAUUGUCUUAACCGUACUUGGAAUGAUGAAUUUUUUUAGGCAUGCCUCCUCAUCAUAAAAAAGACAAGUAUUUACAAACCAAACAAAUGAAGCCAGACCUAAUUUGAAAACAAAACUAUACUCACAUUUAACACUGGAAUGCAAACUCUUUGAUGCAGAUGAGUCAACAGCAGCUGUAUUAACAAAUGAAGGUUCAGUCCAUUGAAACGUUUCUAUUCCAAAUAAUCUUACAUAAAAGGGGUUAUAGAUGAAACUGGUGAUAUCAAGGUGUUGAAUUCCUCAUAGAAAUAUGGUACUGGUAUGCAUAAUGUUAGCAGGUCUGCAAGCCAUCACAUCCUUUUUUUCCUUUUUUCCCCUAGUCAUUUAUACUGUUUUCUGUCUCCUGUUUCUUACCCAACAGUGAGCUUUCAAAACCUAGAGUAGAUGAAAUAUAAUCAAAUCAGUUGAGUUACACUAUAUUAAACUAACUGAGGGUUUGACUCCUUGUCCUCAUCUGAGUGAAAGUGCCUCAGAAGUGCUAUUGUUGAUUCAGUAUUAAAUCUGGGUCUGAAUUUUGUGGUUGUAGGCCUUGUUUACUUUGGUAUAGAAAUGAGAAUUAGUGCAGCUAAUGUUAUUAACAUUCUUUUUAGUUUACAAGUCAAAAAAAGCUGUGUACAUCUUAUUUCAACAUCAGUUGUUAGUCAGAAAAUACUUCAGGAAUGACUAGCAUGGCUGCUAUCAGUCAUCAAGAGCCUCCAAGUGAUGGUAUAACGAGAUUCAGGUUAUUCCUAGACUGAAGGGUAUCAGUUCUUGAUCAUCUGUCUAUCGGUAGAAGUUAUAUGAUUACAUAGGCAUUUUUGUACACUAUGUUUUCUGUUAUUUGGUCAUUUGAUUUUUCUAUGCAAAUAGUGAAAUCAAGUGAGUUUCCAGGAACAAAGCCAUGUCACUGUACUGCUGCAUACUCUUCAGUAAGUCACAUGUCUGUAUGGGAGAUGGUAUGAAUACUGAUGAAAGUGUAUGUCUCAUGUGCUAUACCUAGAGAUAACUACAAUAUAUGGACAAAAACUAUUUUUGACUGUGAAGGAAGAAGUAAUCAUUUAGAAGCACAGUACUCCAGUUGCAUUUGAAGGGCACUGACUCCAUUUUCAUCCAAAACACUUUAGUGAUUACUGCUACAUGUCACAGCAAAUCAGAGCUUGUACAAGUGCUCCAAACACUGUUUCAGACAUGCAGGACUAGCUACUGAUUGGAGUGAGGCCAAAUAGACUGUAUUCAAAAAGCAGCUCUACUUUAAAAAAAAAAAAAAGUGAAUAUUUAUAAGGGCACUGGAGAAAGCCUCUAAGCAACCCUGAUCAGAUUUUGCGGAGGCAUGAAACCCUAUCAUCUGCUACAAGGAUAUGGAGCAAGUGACAACUCAGCACUUCAGCACAAGGUAUGUACAGACCUUGAUCUCCUUGCAGAAUUACAGUUCUUAGUAUCUAUGAAAGUUCAACUCUGCAAAGAGAACCUGACUGGAACGAUGAAGCAUUAUAAUAAGGAAAAAGUUUUUUUUUUUUUAAUAUUAGAGGUUCCUGCUCUCAUAUGCUCUAAAGCUAACUUUAGAAACUAUCAUUUCAGAUGGCAAAACAUAAGAAAUAGAAAUUUUAGCCACUGGAAAUUUUGACUGGCAUCUGUGCUGAUAAGGCCUUUCCAGCUUAACUGAACUGUGCUAGAGACAUGCAAGACUGACCUGCGAAAAAAAAAAACCAAAAACCAAAAACAAAAACAAAAAACUAAAAAACAAACCCAACUGAAAUCUGUUUUGGAACAAAGCACUUGGCUUCUUUUAUGCCAAGAAUAUCUUCUGUGUAUUUUCUUUUGAGCUUUAAGAAUGUAAUAAACAACUGAAGAAGCAUCUUUGAGUUGUUUUCUUUCUUUUAUUUUUCAAUCUUCAGUCUUGUUUUAGGAUUCAUCAGUUGAAAAUGAUGAAAAUUUCGAUUAUACGCGACAAUCUUUGCUUUACUUAAUUUUUUUGUUCCUAAUGCUUUAUGUUUAUGAGAAAUGCACUGCGAUUUGAGUUCUGCAUUCCUUAGAGUUUGCUAUUUCUGUGAUGUUAGCAAAACAAGAGUAAAAGUCACUUAAGAACAAGAGUACGCAGCAGCAGUCCAGCCUCCAAACUAUGAUAUGAGUGGUAAGGUGAUGAACAGGACCAAGGUGAAUGUACUGCAACUUCAAAAUGAUGAUUCUGAUACAGUGAUAAAAUAGUUCACUGGAUUUGUGUUAGUUAGCCUAAGAUUGCUGAAAAUGACCAGUCUCUUGGCAGAAAUAGCAGCAGCAGCAGUCUGAUCUAGUGUUCCACAGCUAUAUGUUUCUGCAAAGUUCACUGUGUGUUUUUAAGUGAAUUGUUUGGUUAAAAUGGCUGGGAGUCUAAAGACUGGAAGUCUUGCAAUAACCUAACUACAGAUACAACCAUUCACUUCACUUGUUUUCAUCUGCACUUCAAACACCAGGAACUUUACACAGUUCCAGGCAACAGAGAGAGGACAUUUUUUAAAUUCCAAGUUCUCCUUAAAGCUUGAAGCUAUUUGCAGAAGAGAGGGUGUCUGAAAAGCUCUCUCAAUUACAAAUGUAAACUACAGGAACUUCCUUCUAGGUUCUCAGGACUGAUGCUUUAAUUUUCUAAGCCUCUAAAGCUGUAACCUCUCUGUUAUUCUUCUGGGGGCUAUCUCAAUUAAAUAACUACCUGCCCUAGCUCUCAUUUUACCUUUCCUAUUAUUUCAACUGACAUAUACAUCUAAAGAGAAACCACUAUUAAUAUACAUGCAGAGAAUUAAAUAAUUUUUCUCUUGCUGAAAUUAAAUUGACAUUUUGUAGAAUGAUUUGACUAUGUAUACUUCACACCUCUCAGCAGCGGGGAUUUGCUUCUCCUAAAGCAGUUCCAGUCAAGAGGUCUACAUAUCUCCUCUUUUACAGCAUGCCGUGUUGUGUCUCAGCUUUAAAUUCUGCUAUGUCUCUUGAGUUAAUGAAGGUGGGAGUGAACAAAGAAGGAGGAAAAGAUUCAUCAGCCAGUCAAAAGUCAAUCAGACAAUCAACGUACCCUGGAAUGUGAUUUCAUCUUUCAGUGACGUGGAUUGCAUCAUCACUGGAGAGUGAACAUACCUUUGGCAGACAUCAGUUUCUUGUAGUAAGCAGCCACGCGAUCUCAAACGAUGUGCUGAUUGGAGAGCUUGCAGGAAGAUCCAGGAGAAAAAACUGCAAAAGGAGAAGUCUUAGUUCAUCCGAAGGGGCAAGAAACAUCUUUUAAAUUGUUUUUAUAACGUUAAUAGCUUAAAAAAUAUUUUAUCACCUUUUGAUUGCAACAAGAUCAAGUCAAUAUUCUUUAAUUUCUUUCAGGAAGUAAGGGUAACAAAAUAUAACAAAAAGUGGUAAAUUAUUGUCAUUUUGCGUAUUUUUGAAUACUUGAGAACUACUACUUUCAGAAAAUAACACACAAGCUUCAGAUCUUACAGAACUCUGGAGAAGACUAGAGGAUCUCACUAUUUAUUAUCUGAUGUAAUGAGAGACGUUUAUAUUUUGAAUGGUAUAAGAGUGGAAACAUGCACAUACAAAAAAUCAACCACGUAAUAACAUCUUGCUUGUUGGUAAAACCAGCCCUUGCUCUUCCAGUCUGUAGUGAGGAAAAUGGACUGGAUGUACACAAAGACAGAAUUAGGUUCAGCAAACAAAGCAGAAUGUAGAACAGCAAUAUGUAAUGCACUAACUGACCAUAACCCUCCUCUGAAUCUCUGACUCAGUUUCUCCAGUCAGGAUGAAUUUGUCUCUGCAUCUGACAGAAGUUCAUUUGCCCAGGAAGAAAGUCAAGGAAUGGCCAGAGACUUCAACUGCCUCCAAUUUAUUUUGUCAUCUUUUGGACAAGCACCAGAACAUGGAACAGGACAGAACACCUAACGCCUUAUGUAUUGCCUCAUUUAGUAUUAUUUAGUAAUGUGCUCUGACAAGGGACUGGGAUGGAGCCCAGCUUUCAGCAGCCUGUCCAGCUGCAGCCUCACAUCCCACCACAACCAGGCAUGGAAAGGUGAUGAUACUUCCACUCCAGAACCUCCUAUUCUGGUUGUUCAUCAAGCAUGUGCACUCAGUCUGAAUGCUUACACCAUGAUACAGUGCAGUGACACGAAGAGAAACAGUGACUACAUGUUUGCUAUAAACAAUGGACAACUUGGUGGAAAAUGCUGACCAAAUCACAUUGAUGUCUUUGUUGCAAUAAAAUUCAGCAGGAGAUUUGAUACUCAAAACAGAAAAAUGUAAAGCUUGCAGUGUUUCCAAACAUGGUCCUGAUGAUAGUAUCAGACUAAAGAAAUCAAAUGCUUUUCUGUACCUGAUAGCAACAGUUCUUCACUAUCCAAACUUCAAAGAUGUAAUUUUUACAUGAAUUUUACCUAAGGUGCUGCAACCUCUUGGUGACAAAAGUAUCUGGGACAAACUCUUCAGUAAUAACCAGUGACAUUUCUAGCUGGUGUGAAGUGGGACAGUUCUGCUGAGUUCAAGAAAUGCCGAUAUCCUAAGUCACAGCAAUGAGAGGCUCUUGUCACUAAGGAAAAGAAAAUAAUAUUUUGGGAAACAUCCCAAGUAAUUCCUUGAUUGGCAGUGAUAGCCUGUAUUCAAUAAAUGCAGUGAAAAAGACAACAUGGCAGAAGAACUGUGUGGUGAUCCAAACAAUAUCCAAGGAUUAAAAAGGGAUGGAAAAUCCAUUUAUAAAAGAACAUUACAACUCCAAAUUUAAAAUGCAGAAGAUGUACAAGGCACCAGUAGUUUAAUCUAAUUUUUUGUCUUUCAUAUAAUCUAUCUUAGGUCCAGACAAUUACUAACAUUGUGCAAUAAGUGGUAUUGUGGUUAUUCCUAUGUAAGAAAAAAAGAAAAGCAAGUUCUUUUAUUUGCCAGAGACAUUCUGUUGAACUUUGGCAAAUCAUUUUGUCUUCUUGUGUUUCAAUUUCUCCUAUGAAAAGAAGACAUAAAAAGCACAUCUGUAUCUCAAAGGACACAGUUUUAAGGAUAAGCACAAUAAAAUGGGAGAUACAAUUCUCAUCAAAAUACCCCUAACCUCCUAGAAAGGGCGCUUUUAUAUGAGCUCACUGGAAAAUUCAAACUUGUAAACGGAUUCUUUUUCUUUUGUUUUCUUUUGUUUUCUUUUUCAUCUUUGUAUAACUUUAAUUUGAGGGAAGUGUUAAAUAGAAUUACUCCAGGAAUUUUAGUAACCUUUUAUGAGGCUAUGCUGAUGUCUGCAUAGGGAAAACAUGUCAGGUCAAAGUGAAGCAGUCCUUCUGAGCGCUGUAAAGGCAGGCAGAGUGCUCAAACCUAUGUUUGAACAGAGUCAAUUUUCAGUAUUUACUGUUGUCUUAUGUGGAACUGCUCCACAUGCAAUCCAAACUUUCACAAAUUUCAACUUUUUCUAUAUAUGAGCACAGAUCUGUGCACAGGAAGUUUCCUGCUUUUGAAAAUCUUCCUUUAGCUGAGCACCAUUGUAUCUUAAAGACGUUUGCAUCUUGCUUCUCCAUGAGGAAAGAUUUCCAGGAAAUCCAAGAAUGAGAUACAAAGAACAGUGAUAAGUGUCUCAACACUGCCUCUUUUUAUUUCCUACUUUUUAAUGACUUCCCUAGUAAUUUAUUAUCAUCCUGAAUAUGUAGUUGUAUGAUGACUAAUUGAAUUAGGUUGCACUGAUUGAACUGCAACAGAUUACUUCUGCAAAUCAUGUGUGGAGAAUAUAUCAUGUCCAGAGGUAUAAUGUCAUACCAUAAAUCCACUUGUAGCAGUAUUAAAGUUUGACUGAUACACAAUGACAGUGAUAAAACAUGUCCUUUCUAUGUAGCUGAAAAUCAAAAAUAUGCUUUUGAAAAACACAAGAGGUGACUUUGUUAGACCAGCACACUGCUAUUUGAAAGC